rnacentral:rRNA from 1 species
CCCGCCGAGUUUAAGCAUAUCAAUAAGCGGA